rnacentral:rRNA from 1 species
UACGGGGGGAGCAAGCGUUGUUCGGAAUCACUGGGCUUAAAGCGUGUGUAGGCGGAUCGGUAAGUACCUUGUGAAAUCCCACAGCUUAACUGUGGAACUGCUUGGUAUACUGCCAGUCUUGAGCCACUUAGGGGCUACCGGAACAAAUGGUGGAGCGGUGAAAUGCGUAGAUAUCAUUUGGAACGCCAAUGGUGAAAACAGGUAGCUGGGAGUGUGCUGACGCUGAGACACGAAAGCCAGGGGAGCAAACGGG